CUGUCUCUGGGAUGUUCGCCAGCGCGUCUGAUUCCCCUGAGCCGAUACUAUCUUUUUAGGAUAGCGUUCUGCGUAUUUAGAGCGUAUGCCUGUCCUGUGCAGGAAACCCAGCAAGUACGCGUCGCUUCCACCUUGAACUUAAGGGUUCAAGGGUAAAGACAUUGCAGCGGCAUCUUCGGAGGCAUU
rnacentral:other from 4 species